UACGUAGGGUGCGAGCGUUGUCCGGAAUUAUUGGGCGUAAAGAGCUCGUAGGCGGUGUGUCACGUCGGCCGUGAAAACCUGCAGCUUAACUGUGGGCGUGCGGUCGAUACGGGCAUCACUGGAGUUCGGCAGGGGAGACUGGAAUUCCUGGUGUAGCGGUGGAAUGCGCAGAUAUCAGGAGGAACACCGGUGGCGAAGGCGGGUCUCUGGGCAGUAACUGACGCUGAGGCACGAAAGCGUGGGGAGCAAACAGG
rnacentral:rRNA from 1 species